rnacentral:rRNA from 1 species
UACGGAAGGCAGCAGUGGGGAAUAUUGCACAAUGGGCGCAAGCCUGAUGCAGCCAUGCCGCGUGUAUGAAAAAGGCCUUCGGGUUGUAAAGUACUUUCAGUCGUGAGGAAGGUGUUAAGGUUAAUAACCUUAGCAAUUGACGUUAGCGACAGAAGAAGCACCGGCUAACUCCGUGCCAGCAGCCGCGGUAAUACGGAGGGUGCGAGCGUUAAUCGGAAUUACUGGGCGUAAAGGCACGCAGGCGGUUAAUUAAGUUGGAUGUGAAAUCCCCGGGCUUAACCUGGGAAUGGCAUUCAAGACUGGUUAGCUAGAGUCUUGUAGAGGGGGUAGAAUUCCAUGUGUAGCGGUGAAAUGCGUAGAGAUGUGGAGGAAUACCGGUGGCGAAGGCGGCCCCUGGACAAAGACUGACGCUCAUGUGCGAAAGCGUGGGGAGCAAAC